rnacentral:lncRNA from 1 species
CUCAAAACAGCAACAGAGAGAGCUGACGAAAUACGAGGUUCAGGGGUGGUGUGCGGCAGUGACUCGUUUUCUAGCCAGCAUUCUCAUGCGAGCUACGUAGGCGCAAGCAAGUGUAGCUUUUUCCCUGCAGUUCGCGUUCUUGCAGAAAAUGAUGAGUGGAUGCUUCGUGUUUCGUCGGGUGAUGGGUGCUCAACGAGAGUGUAAUCGCUCACGAUUGAAAACGUGCCGAUUAUAGAGUAUGGUGUAAGGCGCAUGAAUCACCAGGGGGAACGGCCAGUAAUUCGUUUUUCGUGAGCGAUGGUAUAUUGUCUUCUUUCGUUCAGGAAUUCGGUUGAUCGGAGCGGGAAAUGACUGCUCGUGGCCCCAGUACACACCAGAAGACGCUCUCACGUUGAGCAACGCUUUAGUGUAGUUCGGGCGUGCUUUCAUUCGGAUCGCUUUUCCUGAUCGAUGGCGUGCCCAGCUCUCGCACGCCUGUGACGCGGUUACUGGAGACAGCGCUGACUAAUAGGAGCGUUUUACGCUGUCCCUGUGUGGCGACUGCGGUGUGACGCUAAGAGAAAUUUGUAACAUGAAGAACCAGAGGGCGGUCCACAUGGCUACUCACGCUUGAUCGGUCCGCUCAGUCGUCCGAUCAAGCGUGAGUAGCUCAGGCAGGUGGAGGGCUUUUAUUCAUAACCGUUUUCUGCGGGCCUAAUGAUAUUUAAUGAACGCUGCUUUGUGAAUUCUGCAGUAACGAAUCUUACAUCAACCGAAAUGUCUUCCUGCGUUUCGCGAUGACACAGC